UCAAUGUGGUUUUGAUUUGCAUCUCUCUGAUGACCAGUGACGAUGAGCAUUUUUUCAUAUGACUGUUGGCCUCAUAUAUGUCUUCUUUCGUAAAGUAUCUGUUCAUAUCCUUUGCCCACUUUUGAAUGGGCUUGUUUGUUUUUUUCCUGUAAAUCUGCUUGAGUUGUUUGUAAAUUCUGGAUAUCAGCCCUUUGUCAGAUGGGUAGACUGCGAAAAUUUUUUCCCAUUCUGUUGGUUGCCGAUCCACUCUAGUGACUGUUUCUUUUGCCGUGCAGAAGCUGUGGAGUUUCAUUAGGUCUCAUUUGUCUAUUUUGGCUUUUGUUGCCAAUGCUCUUGGUGUGAUUUAUUAAGAAAACACAAUAAAAGAUGGUGAGAGGAUGCUAAUUUACAACAUGCCACCUCUGCUAUAUAGAAUUGUAGGACCAGAUUUUCAUCAUGAAAACUCUCUAAGAGUCUUGCUGUAUCACCCAAACUUAAAGUGCAGUGGUACAAUCUCGGCUCACUGCAACCUCCAGCUCCUGGGUUCCAGCGAUUCUCCUGCCUCAGCCUCUCAGGACAAGGUGACAACGGGUCUCCCUGUACAGGCAGUCAAAGCAAUUUGAGGAAAACACAUUGUAGCAAG